UACAGAGGGUGCGAGCGUUGUCCGGAAUCACUGGGCGUAAAGGGCGCGUAGGCGGCUCGGUAAGCGUGCGGUGAAAGCCCGGGGCUCAACCCCGGGUCGGCCGUGCGAACUGCGGAGCUGGAGCACUGUAGAGGCAGGUGGAAUUCCGGGUGUAGCGGUGGAAUGCGUAGAUAUCAGGAGGAACACCGGUGGUGUAAACGGCUUUCUGGACCAUAACUGACGCUGAGGCACGAAAGCGUGGGUAGCAAACAGG
rnacentral:rRNA from 1 species